UACGAGGGGUGCAAGCGUUGUUCGGAAUCACUGGGCGUAAAGGGAGCGUAGGCGGAGAUGCAAGCAGUCUGUACAAUACCGGGGCCCAACCCCGGACCUGCAGACUGGACUGUGUCUCUUGGAUAGUUCAGGGGCAGGCGGAAUUCCUGGUGUAGCGGUGGAAUGCGUAGAGAUCAGGAAGAACACCGAUGGCGAAGGCAGCCUGCUGGGGACUUAUCGACGCUGAGGCUCGAAAGUGCGGGUAGCAAAC
rnacentral:rRNA from 1 species